rnacentral:rRNA from 1 species
GACGAACGCUGGCGGCGUGCUUAACACAUGCAAGUCGAACGAAGCGCUUAAGCUGAUUUCUUCGGAUUGAUUCUUGAGUGACUGAGUGGCGGACGGGUGAGUAACGCGUGGGUAACCUGCCUCAUACAGGGGGAUAACAGUCAGAAAUGGCUGCUAAUACCGCAUAAGCGCACAGUACCGCAUGGUACAGUGUGAAAAACUCCGGUGGUAUGAGAUGGACCCGCGUCUGAUUAGCUGGAUGGCGGGGUAACGGCCCACCAUGGCGACGAUCAGUAGCCGGACUGAGAGGUUGAACGGCCACAUUGGGACUGAGAUACGGCCCAG